rnacentral:rRNA from 1 species
UACGUAGGGUGCAAGCGUUGUCCGGAAUUAUUGGGCGUAAAGAGCUCGUAGGCGGUCAGUCGCGUCUGCUGUGAAAACUCGGGGCUUAACUCCGGGCCUGCAGUGGGUACGGGCUGACUAGAGUGCGGUAGGGGAGACUGGAAUUCCUGGUGUAGCAGUGAAAUGCGUAGAUAUCAGGAGGAAUACCGAUGGCGAAGGCAGGUCUCUGGGCUGACACUGACGCUCAUGCACGAAAGCGUGGGGAGCAAACAGG